rnacentral:lncRNA from 1 species
UAUGCUUAUAUAUUAAGAUUUUACUCAUAUAUAUUAGGUAUGCUUAGUGAAUAAAGUUAUUGAAGGAACAAUAAUGGUAAACACCUUCAACUGUGUAGCAAGGUAAUGAGGUUUGUUUUUGCUUAUUAAGGGAAAGAGAGAGAAAAUUUGUUUUCACAUUAAGUGUGAAGUCAACCCAGAUGUGCAAGAGCAUAGAGAAGGGCAAAAGUCUAGUGUGUAGAUGUUGGAGAAGUAAAAAUCUUGCCAACAAAGAGAGACCUCUCCAGAACCACUACGGAAAGAUACCUGAUUUAUUAUUAAGUUAAUAUAACAGAGUCCUUGCCUGUAGGAAGCCCUCAAGAGACUACAAAGUCACCAUAAAAUUUCACGCAAUUUAUAUAGCAAAGCAGAUACAAAGUUCAUUGGGAACUGAGGUAGGCAUUUACUUAGUUAAUUGUUCUCUUCUAAAAGAAUAAUAUAACUUAUUUCCUCAAGAGACAAAGGGUUAUAUUGUGAGAAACUCCUGAGCUAAUUCUGAGGCUAUGUGUUUAUAUUUCCAGGGGUUAUGAGGCUCCAGACCUUAGAGAAAUCUCUUUAUUAUGAAACCGAAGACUGGGCAUAUCUGGCCCCAGGAGAGAUUCACUUACUUGCUAAAGGCCAGCUAUAUCUUCAAGGAGAUCCUCUCCAGGGGGAAGAACAGAUAAAAGGGGAAGUGGAGGGGAAAGCAGUGGUCUUGACUCCAUUUGCGGAAAGAACAGAAGAAUCUCCCAUUCCGUGGCAUUUCCCAUCCACUGAUGUCAGAACCCCAGUGCCUGAAGCCAGUGUAUUACUUCUCACUCCUUCAGGAGUGGGCAGGGUAACUGAAUUGUGCCUGAAGUUCCUCUCAUUACCUCCUGGCAUGCCAAACGGCCAGAUGGUGUAA